CGGAAGUGCGUGGCCGCCCGGGGCCAUGGCGACACUCAGCUUCGUCUUCCUGCUGCUGGGGGCAGUGUCCUGGCCUCCGGCUUCUGCCUCCGGCCAGGAGUUCUGGCCCGGACAGUCGGCGGCCGAUAUUCUGUCGGGGGCGGCUUCCCGCAGACGGUAUCUUCUGUAUGACGUCAACCCCCCGGAAGGCUUCAACCUGCGCAGGGAUGUCUAUAUCCGAAUCGCCUCUCUCCUGAAGACUCUGCUGAAGACGGAGGAGUGGGUGCUUGUCCUGCCUCCAUGGGGCCGCCUCUAUCACUGGCAGAGUCCUGACAUCCACCAGGUCCGGAUUCCCUGGUCUGAGUUUUUUGAUCUUCCAAGUCUCAAUAAAAACAUCCCCGUCAUCGAGUAUGAGCAGUUCAUCGCAGAGGAUGGUUUUGGGGUUAUGAGGAGACCAGGGGUCUAAACGUCUCCUGUCUGUCCGUCCAGGGCUCAGCCUCCAUCGUGGCGCCCCUGCUGCUGAGGAACACAUCAGCCCGGUCCGUGAUGUUAGACAGAGCCGAGAACCUACUUCACGACCACUAUGGAGGGAAAGAAUACUGGGAUACCCGUCGCAGCAUGGUGUUUGCCAGGCACCUGCGGGAGGUGGGAGACGAGUUCAGGAGCAGACACCUCAACUCCACGGACGACGCAGACGGGAUCCCCUUCCAGGAGGACUGGACGAAGAUGAAGGUCAAGCUGGGCUCCGCGCUAGGGGGCCCCUACCUGGGAGUCCACCUGAGAAGAAAAGAUUUCAUCUGGGGUCACAGACAGGAUGUACCCAGUCUGGAAGGGGCCGUGAGGAAGAUCCGCAGCCUCAUGAAGACCCACCGGCUGGACAAGGUGUUUGUGGCCACAGAUGCCGUCAGAAA
rnacentral:sRNA from 1 species